GUCCCGGAAUGUCAAGAGUGGUGCUGCAUGAGAUAAAGGCUGGCACAAGCUCAGGUGCUCAUUUUGGCUGUUGUCUGAAAAUGUCUCUGAGAGAUCAAGGCAGAAGCACGGAAAGACGUUGACUGACAGUCAAGAAAUAAGAUGGAACUCAGAUUGGUAAAGGCCUGGUUCUCAUGGGCACAAAGGAUGCAUAUGAAAAAGUUACAUCUUUGCCUUUCCAGGGCAUCUCAUGGCAAGCUCACCACGCAUAAUAGGAAGGACAAGUGUAGUGGGCCCAGUGAGGCUUGCUCUGCUCCAGACCCUUCUGGGCCUUGCAGAUAAAUGACUGCAAUUGUUUGAGUUGCAGGAUGUCAACUCAGAACUCUAUGACCAGAGGGUGAACAACUUCAGGUUCUUCUAUGACAUCACCUUAGGGUCUGCAAUGACAUCAAGGCUCAAAUAUGGAGCUUAGGGGAUGAUUAUCACAAGUACCAUUUUAGGGAUGGGGCUGGUCUUUGUAUUGGAUACGUAAAGGCUCACAAGUCCAGGGAGUGGAGAGAGAUGUGGCUGAACAGCAACAUGGUGGAGAAAAGGUCAGUAAAGUCAAUGGAAAAGAAUGACUUUUAUUAAAUGAUCACUAUAGCUUCCAGUGAGAUAAGCAUUUUACAAAUGAAAGAAUGUGGCUUGGGGAAGCCAAGUUCUCAAAAGCAGAUGACUGGCAACGUGAGAUUUGGAAGACACCAACGUCAUUACAUAACACUGCAUUCUCUACUCCUGAUCCGAGGACCAAAACAUCUAACUCUGUAUGGUUAAAAAUAUCUGGAUGGAUCUCUCAAUUCCAGGACAUUGAUAAGAAACCAGGGAUGCUUGUUUUAAAAAGGAGAACAUAUCAUUAAAUAUCGAAAGGACUGUGAUAUGAAGAAGUUUGAAUUUUUGGUUGUUGUUGCUUCAAAAUGCAAAAGUAGUAUGAGAAAGUGGAGAUUGUGCCUCUGUGGAAGGAAAUUCAUUUUUAAGCAGUUGCAUAUAUUUAACAAAAUAAUUGUACUGAGACCUUCUCCUAAAUGAAAGCACAUUUUUACAUAAACUGUGUACUUCUGAGUAUGCUUUAUCCUAGAGUACCCAGUGAACCCUUAUUCAUCCUCAAGAUU